GCUGCCCGCGUCCCCGAUCCGAGUCCUCGGUCCAGGUCCCUCUCCACUCUCCACUCCAGCUUCCUGCUAACGACACCCUGGGCGCAGCAGGCGACGACGCCACGUGGGGACAUGGACAGAGCCGAGCCCCAGCUGCUGCGGGAUCCGGACGAGAGCUACAGACAUCAGAUCCUCCCCGCCCCGGGCGGUCAGUGGUCAGCGGUCAGCUAUGCUGAGAGGUCACGGGACGGGCCUGUGGCCACCAUGCCUAGCUCCAAGGCCUGCAGAUCAAGCGAGAGGUGAAGCCCACAGCCAGCAACCAGAGGCCCCACAGGACUCCUGGUAGACCACACGCAUGUGGACACUGGACUCGGCCUUGUGGACAUCUUCCUGUCACCCCCAGGUACGGACCAUGCCCUGCCCUUGCGAGGCCCCUCACACUGGCCACCCACCCCCAUCUUGUGGGGGGCUCAACCCCAAGAACGCGGAACUCGGAGACCACGAGACCCAGCCCCAAACUGCAUCUGCAGCACUAACAACGCUGACCCACCUGUGUCAGUGAGAGGCAGAUGGGCAGAGAACUCCACCCACUGGGUCACUACCCGGACGCCCACAGUGCCUGGGCUGGGCCAAAGCCAGGAGCCAGGAGCUCCACCCAAGUCUGCUGAGGAUGGUGGGACCCCCACACUGGGGCCAUCACCUGCAGCCCCCCAGGGCGCAACGAGUCAGGAGCCAGAGCCUGGAACCCAACCCAGGCACCGACCCACGCGGGCUCCGACCACUAGGCCACACGACCACUCUGGAAUCUCCAGUUUUAACAGGUUUCUGUCUGCCCACAGGGUGUGGCUGGAGAAACAUCUCAGUGCCUGGGGGUGGGCGUCCAGCCCGCCGGUUAAGUCACGGACCCCCGAUGGGGAAGCCCCUGGCUUGCAGCUUCCAGCCAGUGCAGGCCUGGGCAAGGAGCGCUGAUGGCCCAGCCCGGCUGCUGCAGGCAUCUGGGGAAGGGUCCGCUGUCCCCUGGUGACAACACCUGCUGUCCCGGCCACCUCCCGCCUUCUACCCUGCGAAGAUGGCCCCUGGAGACCCACAGGAAGUCAAUGUCGCAGAGACCACACUCGCCAUGGGUCAGGGACCACUCUGUGCUGAGAGGCGUCCCCAAGGCCACGUCAGGACAGCAAACCCAGCCCAGGCACCAGAAGCCCAAGGUUGGGCACCCGGAUCUGAGCGCUGCUGCACCCAAGGGUGACCUGGAGGGAGCUCCAGGCUCCUGGUUGUGGCCUGGCCCAGCCCUGAAGCUGUGGGCACUUAGGGAGUGAACCAGCAGACAUGAGACCUCUGUCUCUGUAGCUCUGGAUUCAAAUAAAAUAAAUACAUAAACAAACUUGAACAAAAAUCAGGACCUCA